rnacentral:tRNA from 1 species
GGAGAGGUGGCAGAGCGGUUGAAUGCACCGGUCUUGAAAACCGGCAAACCGAAAGGUUUCGUGGGUUCGAAUCCCACCCUCUCUA